CAGCCGCCGCGGUAAUACAGAGGGUGCGAGCGUUAAUCGGAUUUACUGGGCGUAAAGCGUGCGUAGGCGGCUAAUUGAGUCGGAUGUGAAAUCCCCGAGCUUAACUUGGGAAUUGCAUUCGAUACUGGUUAGCUAGAGUGUGGGAGAGGAUGGUAGAAUUCCAGGUGUAGCGGUGAAAUGCGUAGAGAUCUGGAGGAAUACCGAUGGCGAAGGCAGCCAUCUGGCCUAACACUGACGCUGAGGUACGAAAGCAUGGGGAGCAAACAGGAUUAGAUACCCCCGUAGUCCCUGUCUCUUAUAA
rnacentral:rRNA from 1 species